rnacentral:rRNA from 1 species
GCGGAGAGCGUCAUUAACACGUGGCCAAACUACCGUGUGGAUGGGAACAAUCUCGGGAAACUGAAGCUAAUUCCCAAUAACGCUCCGCCCCUGGAACGGGCGGAGCUGGAAACGCUACGGCGCCACAAGAUGUGGCUGCGGUCGAUUAGGUAGACGGUGGGGUAACGGCCCACCGUGCCAAUAAUCGGUACGGGUUGUGAGAGCAAGAGCCCGGAGACGGAAUCUGAAACAAGAUUCCGGGCCCUACGGGGCGCAGCAGGCGCGAAACCUUUACACUGUACGCAAGUGCGAUAAGGGGACUCCGAGUGUGAAGGCAUAGAGCCUUCACUUUUGUACGCCUUAAGGUGGUGUACCAAUAAAGGCUGGGAAAGACCGGUGCCACCCCCCCCGGUAAUACCGGCGGCCCGAGUGAUGGCCGAUAUUAUUGGGCCUAGAGCGACCUUGUCUGGUCGGACGAGUCCAUUGGGAAAUCUGUUCACGUAACUAGCGUGGGUCCGGUGCAAACUGUUCUGCUUGGGACCGGAAGACCUGAGGGGUACUUCCGGGGGUAGGAGUGAAAUCCUGUAAUCCUGGACGGACCACAGGCUGGCGAAAGCGCCUCACGAGGACGGAUCCGACAUUGAGGGACGAAAGCUAGGGUCUCGAACCGGAUUAGAUACCCGGGUAGUCCUAGCUGUAAACGAUGCCCGCUAGGUGUGGCGCAGGCUACGAGCCUGCGCUGUGCCGUAGGGAAGCCGAGAAGCGGGCCGCCUGGGAAGUACGUCUGCAAGGAUGAAACUUAAAGGAAUUGGCGGGGGAGCACUACAACCGGAGGAGCCUGCGGUUUAAUUGGACUCAACGCCGGACAUCUCACCAGCUCCGACAGUAGUAAUGACGGUCAGGUUGAUGACCUUACCCGAUGCUACUGAGAGGAGGUGCAUGGCCGCCGUCAGCUCGUACCGUGAGGCGUCCUGUUAAGUCAGGCAACGAGCGAGACCCGCACUCCUAAUUGCCAGCAGUACCCUUUGGGUAGCUGGGUACAUUAGGUGGACUGCCGCUGCCAAAGCGGAGGAAGGAACGGGCAACGGUAGGUCAGUAUGCCCCGAAUGAGCUGGGCAACACGCGGGCUACAAUGGUCGAGACAAUGGGAUGCAACUCCGAGAGGAGGCGCUAAUCUCCUAAACUCGAUCGUAGUUCGGAUUGAGGGCUGAAACUCGCCCUCACGAAGCUGGAUUCGGUAGUAAUCGCGUGUCAGAAGCGCGCGGUGAAUACGUCCCUGCUCCUUGCACACACCGCCCGUCAAAGCACCCGAGUGG